ACUAAAAAAUCGAACUUGCUGACGGGGGGGUCUCCGGGUACGGCGGCUCUGCUAGUUCUCAUUCGCGGUUGGGGUUUCUCAUUCAGAUAAGCUACAUAGAAAGGGACAGUAAACACAAUGGUCAAAGAAUUGUGUGAAAUGAAAAAUGGAAAGAGGCUCAUCGGAGGGGUUUUAGGAUUUUGGCCGCAGUGGCUCCGCCGAGCUCUGUCUGUAGUUUUUGGUUCACCUACCAUUCUUUUUUGCUCCAAUAUGGCCACAAGGAUACUCAGAAUCAAAUUUCGAGCGAGAAUGAGAAACUUUUACCUUUUUUGGCGGUUAGCGGUGGCUUUGUGCGGCUGCAGUCGGGGGUUGAUCUCAUUCUCUGAUGUCUGGUUCUUCUUCUUCUGCGAAGGCAGGUACCGCUAGGGUUAGGGUUUUCUAAGAUGCGAUGUUUAAAUACUCAUCCUGUGUCGAUCUAGGUCGUUCGUCUGCAUCGAUGUAGAGCGAGGAGAGCCGUAUGAUCGUUGUC
rnacentral:lncRNA from 1 species